rnacentral:rRNA from 1 species
UUGGCGGACGGGUGAGUAACGCUGGGGAACCUGCCCUGUACAGGGGGAUAACACUUAGAAAUAGGUGCUAAUACCGCAUAAGCGCACAGUAUCGCAUGAUACAGUGUGAAAAACUCCGGUGGUACAGGAUGGACCCGCGUCUGAUUAGCUGGUUGGCGGGGUAACGGCCCACCAAGGCGACGAUCAGUAGCCGGCCUGAGAGGGUGAACGGCCACAUUGGGACUGAGACACGGCCCAAACUCCUACGGAAGGCAGCAG